AAGCAGCAGAUCGGACCCUACCUUGAACAUACUAAAUCGUCUAUUAUUUUCAGCAGAUGCGCAGAUCUCAUCCUUACCAGCAGUCCUCCGCCUUAGCUCAGGCUGAGAGGCAGCGUCCCGCAGCUGACUUAGAAUUCGAAUCCGGAUCACCUGAAGCAGAUAUGCUGGUGCAACAAUGUCAUGCAUGUCAUGAUGCUGUUGCUCAAAUGGUGCAAAUUAUGGAACGGCAGCAUGGUGCCCACAGUGCUUCUUGCUCACCCAAGGAGCACGUCCAGCCAUGGGAAGACAGAGCCAUCUCCACACGCUUUACUCCAUAUGCAGAAACAGAUUACUGCAUACCGGAUGCUUUUAUUUCAAAUUCCUUUUUUGAUAAUCCCUGGACUGGAAUUUGUCUUUUUCACAGCUUCACAUGCUGAAUUGACAUCUUCGCUGAAGUACCCUCUGCAGCCCCAAGAUUUUUUCCCUGAUUCAUACAGACAGCUUAAAAUGUAUGUUUUGGCCCCCACGUGCAAUGAGUUCAGCAGAGUAGCUGUGUAAACUGCCACGAGUCAUACGAUUCUAAUGGUAUAUAAAUUGUUAAAAAAAAAAAAAAACCAUGGUAAGCCAAAGAGAGGAAAAGCACAUGAGAUAGGAGGCCCCUACUCUCCAGACUUUCCAGAAAGUAGUCAAGACCUGGCUCUGCCACCUGGCAUGGGGCAAGAAAAGGGACAACCAACCCUGGAGGUAGCUAGCGCCUUGAAGAUGCCCCCAUAUGUUAGCAUCUUUUUGACCACCAGCAUCUUGGAAGAUAUUUAUGUUUUGGAGCUCCCAGCAUUACAUCCAAGGCUUUCAGAGAUAUUUCAGGAUGAAGACAUUUAAAUAUGGCAUGGCACCAUUCAGUGUAACUCAUCCACAUGUUUCUGUCAACCAGCCUUCCCAUCUGGGGUGCCCAGAUGUGUUCAUCCACCACAUACAGGAUUCACAGGAACAGUUUUCUUCCCAGCUUGACAACAGUUGCGGCUUCGAUAGAAGACCACCAGAAAAUCCGAGAGCGAUAGGUCGGACUAGGAGGUUGGACAAACAUCUCAGAAAAAGGUAUUAGCAAACCACUUCUGCUCUGUUGCCAAGAGAAAUCUCUCAAAGUCACCAGAUGUUGAGCUCCACUCAAGGGAGAAGAUGAUACUUAUCCUGCCGUUUUCCAGUUGACCACCUUACACACAGUAUUAUUUGUUAACUCCUUUGAUUACAGAGCAGCUAAGUCCCAUCUUCCCCCAAAGCUCUGAAUCUAAAUAAAAUCCUGAAUGUUGCAUCUGUAAUCAAUAGCACCAUUGUAUGACUUUAAUGGGGCACAUUCUUCAAAUGACAGAAUAAAUUCAUACAAAUCUUUUGUGUGUGUCACAUCAUUGUAAUAGGGUUUGAAAGUUACAGCCCUAGGAUUACUUGCUUUUCUAGUAUUUGCUAUUGUUCUUGCUAUUGUUAUAACAUAGGACAAAACUGAGAGAGUAAAUUAUGGACCAUUGCUCUCCCCCUGCAACUCCCCGUAUGCCUGCUAGGAAUUUACUGCAGGAAAGAGAGUUUCGUUCUUGUCACAAGUAGCCUGAUAUAUUGGCAACUUAACUGUUCUCUCCCUUCUUUCCUUUCCCAGAGUAGCCAUUCAUAAUUUU